rnacentral:rRNA from 1 species
UACAGAGGAGCCAAGCGUUGUCCGGAUUGACUGGGCGUAAAGAGCUCGUAGGCGGUCUGUUGCGUCGGCUGUGAAAACCCGGGGCUCAACCCCGGGCCUGCAGCCGAUACGGGCAGACUAGAGUUCGGCAGGGGAGACUGGAAUUCCUGGUGUAGCGGUGAAAUGCGCAGAUAUCAGGAGGAACACCGGUGGCGAAGGCGGGUCUCUGGGCCGAUACUGACGCUGAGGAGCGAAAGCGUGGGGAGCGAACAGG